GAUGAACGUUGGCGGUGUGCCUAAUACAUGCAAGUCGAACGGAGAUUGUAGCAAUACGGUCUUAGUGGCGAACGGGUGAGUAACGCGUUGGUGAUCUGCCUCGAAGUGUGGAAUAACGAUUCGAAAGAAUCGCUAAUACCGCAUAGUCUCUCUUUUUCCAGAAAUUUGAGAGUAAAGGAUUUAUUCGCUUUGAGAGGAGCCUGCGUCCCAUCAGCUAGUUGGUAAGGUAAUGGCCUACCAAGGCGAUGACGGGUAGGGGACCUGAGAGGGUGGCCCCCCACAAUGGAACUGAAACACGGUCCAUACACCUACGGGUGGCAGCAGUAGGGAAUAUUAGAAAUGGACGAAAGUCUGAUCUAGCAACACCGCGUGUGCGAAGAAGGCCUUCGGGUUGUAAAGCACUUUUUGGAAGGAUUAGAAGGAAUAGUACUUCCAGAAUAAGUCUCGGCUAACUACGUG
rnacentral:rRNA from 1 species